AGCAGCCGCGGUAAUUCCAGCUCCAAUAGCGUAUAUUAAAGUUGUUGCAGUUAAAAGCUCGUAGUUGAAUUUCGAGACCGGCUUACUGGUCGUGCUAUUGUACGUACUGGUAUAAUCGGUUUCUCCUUUCUGACGAACUAUAAUGCCAUUAAUUUGGUGUUAUAGGGAAUCAGGACUGUUACUUUGAAAAAAUUAGAGUGUUUAAAGCAGGCUCACGCUUGAAUACAUUAGCAUGGAAUAACGGAAUAGGACGUUUGAUUCUAUUUUGUUGGUUUCUAGGAUCGACGUAAUGAUUAAUAGGGAUAGUUGGGGGCAUUAGUAUUCAAUUGUCAGAGGUGAAAUUCUUGGAUUUAUUGAAGACCAACUACUGCGAAAGCAUUUGCCAAGGAUGUUUUCAUUAAUCAAGAACGAAAGUUAGGGGAUCGAAGACGAUCAGAUACCGUCGUAGUCUUAACCAUAAACUAUGCCGACUAGGAAUCGGAUGAUGUUAAUUUUUUAAUGACUCAUUCGGCGCCUUACG
rnacentral:rRNA from 1 species